UACGAAGGGGGCUAGCGUUGCUCGGAAUCACUGGGCGUAAAGCGCACGUAGGCGGAUUGCUAAGUCAGGGGUGAAAUCCUGGAGCUCAACUCCAGAACUGCCUUUGAUACUGGCGAUCUUGAGUCCGGGAGAGGUGAGUGGAACUGCGAGUGUAGAGGUGAAAUUCGUAGAUAUCGCAAGAACACCAGUGGCGAAGGCGGCUCACUGGCCCGGUACUGACGCUGAGGUGCGAAAGCGUGGGGAGCAAACAGG
rnacentral:rRNA from 1 species